CGGCUAUAUCACGUUGAAACACCUGUUCUUGUACGAUCACCGAAUUUAAUAAACGUCGAGCCUGGUCAGUACUUUGUUGGGUGACCGCUUGGGAGUAUCAGAUUCUG